rnacentral:rRNA from 1 species
AUUCCAGCUCCAAUAGCGUAUAUUAAUGUUGUUGCAGUUAAAAAGCUCGUAGUUGAAUUUCUGGUUAAAAUCUUAGCUGGCUUUGGUCGUUAAUGUUUUAAUCAUCCGUUAGAGAACUAUAACCGUCCUUAACUGGUCAUUAUAGAGAUCUAACAUUUUACUUUGAAAAAAUUAGAGUGUUCAAGGCAGGCAAUCGUCAUGAAUACUAUAGCAUGGAAUAAUGGAAUAGGACUUUGGUUCAUUUUAUUGGUUAUUGAACCUUAGUAAUGAUUAACAGGGACAGUCAGGGGAACUCGUAUUCCGCCGAGAGAGGUGAAAUUCUCAGACCAGCGGAAGACGAACCACUGCGAAAGCAUUUGCCAGGGAUGUUUUCAUUG